rnacentral:rRNA from 1 species
CAUGCUUAACACAUGCAAGUCGAACGGUACAGGUCUAGCUUGCUAGAUGCUGACGAGUGGCGGACGGGUGAGUAACGCGUGGGAAUCUGCCUUCUAGUGGGGGAUAGCCCCGGAGAAAUCCCGGAUUAAUACCCGCAUACGCCCUACGGGGGAAAGCCGGGGAUCUUCGGACCUGGCGCUAGUAGAUGAGCCCGCGUGAGAUUAGCUUGUUGGUGGGGUAAUGGCCUACCAAGGCAACGAUCUCUAGCUGGUCUGAGAGGACGAUCAGCCACACUGGGACUGAGACACGGCCCACGACUCCUACGGGAGGCAGCAGUGGGGAAUAUUGGACAAUGGGCGAAAGCCCUGAUCCAGCAAUGCCGCGUGUGUGAAGAAGGCCUGAGGGUUGUAAAGCACUUUCAAUCGUGAAGAAAAGUUGCAGGCUAAUACCCUGUGACCUUGACGUUAACGAUACAAGAAGCACCGGCUAACUCCGUG